rnacentral:rRNA from 1 species
AGUGAACGCUAGCGGCAGGCCUAACACAUGCAAGUCGAGGGGCAGCACGAGUAGCAAUACUUGGUGGCGACCGGCGCACGGGUGAGUAACGCGUAUGCAACCUACCUUUAACUGGAGAACAGCUCCCCGAAAGGGGAAUUAAUACUCCAUAACACCACGAGAAGGCAUCUGAUUGUGGUUAAUACUCCGGUGGUUAAAGAUGGGCAUGCGUGCCAUUAGCUAGUUGGUGAGGUAAAGGCUCACCAAGGCUACGAUGGCUAGGGAGUCUGAGAGGAUGAUCCCCCACACUGGAACUGAGACACGGUCCAGACUCCUACGGGAGGCAGCAGUGAGGAAUAUUGGUCAAUGGGGGCAACCCUGAACCAGCCAUGCCGCGUGAAGGAUGAAGGCCUUAUGGGUUGUAAACUUCUUUUGUAUAGGGCGAACCGUUUCUACGCGUUAGAGACCUGACAGUACUAUACGAAUAAGCAUCGGCUAACUCCGUGCCAGCAGCCGCAGUAAUAC